UCCAAGUUCGCUCAGGGUUCAUACGACUUCGAUAGAGGUGUCGUCAGAUCAUGAGGCAGAGAAGUAUCGUUUUGGAGUAAAAGAACUGACUUCAAUUAGAUUGGCUUACAUCAGCGCGAACAAGAAACAAAUCAGAAGGUCUUGACUGAACUAGUUCUCUUGCUUGUUGCAUUAGAACGUGGGCCCCAUCAGUGAGGGUAAAUUCCAUUUUUGCCAGAGAAAACUAGAUUACAGUACUAGCCUGAAGGUUGGAGUCUAUUAUUUCCCGUCGGAACAAGCUUAAUAUUUAACCUUCAUACUGCAUUUUACAAACUU